AUAUACAUUAACGUGGAAGGUUGCAGCCGACCUCGUCGGAUCUCGGAAGCUAAGCAGGAUUGAGCCGGGUUUGUUACUUAGAUGGGAGGAUGCCUCGGGACAUCAGGUGUUAUA
rnacentral:rRNA from 1 species